rnacentral:rRNA from 1 species
AGAGUUUGAUCCUGGCUCAGAUUGAACGCUGGCGGCAUGCCUUACACAUGCAAGUCGAACGGCAGCACGGAGCUUGCUCUGGUGGCGAGUGGCGAACGGGUGAGUAAUAUAUCGGAACGUACCCUAGAGUGGGGGAUAACGUAGCGAAAGUUACGCUAAUACCGCAUACGAUCUAAGGAUGAAAGUGGGGGAUCGCAAGACCUCAUGCUCGUGGAGCGGCCGAUAUCUGAUUAGCUAGUUGGUAGGGUAAAAGCCUACCAAGGCAUCGAUCAGUAGCUGGUCUGAGAGGACGACCAGCCACACUGGAACUGAGACACGGUCCAGACUCCUACGGGAGGCAGCAGUGGGGAAUUUUGGACAAUGGGCGAAAGCCUGAUCCAGCAAUGCCGCGUGAGUGAAGAAGGCCUUCGGGUUGUAAAGCUCUUUUGUCAGGGAAGAAACGGUGAGAGCUAAUAUCUCUUGCUAAUGACGGUACCUGAAGAAUAAGCACCGGCUAACUACGUGCCAGCAGCCGCGGUAAUACGUAGGGUGCAAGCGUUAAUCGGAAUUACUGGGCGUAAAGCGUGCGCAGGCGGUUUUGUAAGUCUGAUGUGAAAUCCCCGGGCUCAACCUGGGAAUUGCAUUGGAGACUGCAAGGCUAGAAUCUGGCAGAGGGGGGUAGAAUUCCACGUGUAGCAGUGAAAUGCGUAGAUAUGUGGAGGAACACCGAUGGCGAAGGCAGCCCCCUGGGUCAAGAUUGACGCUCAUGCACGAAAGCGUGGGGAGCAAACAGGAUUAGAUACCCUGGUAGUCCACGCCCUAAACGAUGUCUACUAGUUGUCGGGUCUUAAUUGACUUGGUAACGCAGCUAACGCGUGAAGUAGACCGCCUGGGGAGUACGGUCGCAAGAUUAAAACUCAAAGGAAUUGACGGGGACCCGCACAAGCGGUGGAUGAUGUGUAUUAAUUCGAUGCAACGCG